rnacentral:lncRNA from 1 species
GUGCUAGUCCCUGGAUCAAUAGCUAGCACACACAGUACAAGAUGUAAUAUCAAGAAUAAACCACAUGUCACAAUAUUACAUCGUAGAUCCAGAAUUUGAUAUAAUACAUAUCUGCAUAGCUCAAGCUAGCAUACAAACAAAAUACAGCGGAAAAGCAAAUAAAAUCUUCAUGAAGUCCAUCAACACCAUAGGCAAAUGUCGAGUAUAGACAUCGUAACCCUACAUCGUAUCACUCGCUCGUCAUAUAAAAUCUGCAACAUGAAACGUUGCAGCCACGAAGGGUCAAUACUUUGAAUGUAUUGGCAAGUCACACAAGAAUGAUAUAACAGACCUACAUCUAUAUGCAAGUUAUAUCAAGAGGAUAGUGUAGUGGCUGUUUUGCAGAAAAAGCUAAUUUUCCCUAAUAGCUACAUAAUAGUCAAAUUUUAAUUAUGUCUUGCUACAAUUAAACACAUAUGAUUGAAUUGGGCACUCCAAUUCCAACCAAUCCCAAUUAUUAAGUUUCCCACUCAAUUUUUAUUAAAGUAUCAUCUGUCAAGAUCAUCCAACAACUGUAAUGGCAUGGUGGCUCAAAUUUGUCCAUAACCGGUGACACGGCUAAUCAUGAUUAGUUUAUACACUCUGCAAAGGUUUGCACACAUUACCCACUGGACUCAACCCAAAGAUUGAGACAAAGUCUUUCAGGAGCAGUCGCCUAGUCCCACAGGAGGCCCAUCCCAACUAUCACAACUACAUCUGCUGGCACAUCUGGGUGAGGUUUCCGCAACUGAUCAACUAAGCCAGAGCCCAUAUUAGCGAGUGGUUGUACAUGGAAGCUACUAGUCACUAAGUCUGUCUGAAUUUUUUAUGCCUGGACGGCACCCACUUACAUUCAGAGGGUAUAAACCACGAUGUUCUUCAAACCACCCAGCAAUACCAUUCGGGCGCACUUAGCCAUGGUCCAUGUCCUUAGAAAAGAAACAAUAAACCAUGAUGCAACCCUCUUCGUCCAGAGGUGAAUUAUAUAUGUUAUGUUUCUGCUCAAAUUAUAUUAUAUAUAGUCCUCACAUAAUCUCGAUGCAUACACGAACCAAUCCCCGUCUACAUAGCAUAGCAAGAAUACACUACCACGAUCUACAAUAAGGCCAUACUAAGCUGAUUCUCAAUAGCACUAACAUGCUACCAUAAGAUUCCUACACAUGCAUAAUAUAGUAGUGUGAUAUAUAUAACUACAUGCAUAGAAAAAUAAUAGGAUGAAGGAUGAUCAGGGUGUAACUUGCCUAGUAUAUUGGAUGAAGUUCGUCGCACUCACAAUUCCUUAUAAUUCUACUCGGCACGCUUCGACCAAUCUAUCGUUAACGAAAGAACUCAAUUCAAUAACCAUGCCUUAUAUAAGAACCAAAGAAUAACAAAAACAAAUAUGGCAAGGUUGAACAAAAUAAAUAAAAUAGGCUCAAUAUAUAAUAUAGGUUUUAUAGUACUAUAGUGUGACAGGGUGAAGGAAUGAACUCCAAAGAGUUAAUGAAUGAUGAAAUAUUGUUAUGCAAGAGUAUAUAUGAGAUAGUAUGGAACAGGGUAAACGGUAUAAGGAGGAACAAACAUGGUGUUUAACAGAUCACAUAUGACACGCAAGUUAUAUUGGAAUGAAGUUUGAAGUCAAAACAUUUCAGAAAGUAUUUGAAUUUGAAGUGUACUUGCUAUGAACAGAAAUUAUUUGGUUCAGGUGUUCAAAUGCAAAAGGAAUGAAUUGAAUAGGUGUUUCAGUUCACCGGAUAUGAUCAAAAGAAGGUAUGAGUUCAAAUUUGAAUAAACUCAUAUUUGAAGAGUGAAAAAGUGUGAAACUUGGUUCUACAGGAUUCUCUUGAUCAAUAUGAGUUCACAGGAAAAAAAUCACCUAAAUUGGAUAUACAGAAAAAAGAUAUAGCUAAAAGAAGUUUUAAGUGAAAUCUGCAAAAAAAAACCAAAAGAGAAACCCUGUUCUGGAAAUACUGUACCGACGCUGUAUCAUUUACUUUAGCAUGCGCCACGUGUCAUCACAUGCUUGGUCCAGGUGAAAAACUCCGCGCGCGCUUACCAGAAAUAUAGGAAGCUGGCGGCGGCUUCUGGAUCGAUCUUGGUGACUUCUCCUGUGCUCCUCCGGGCAGCAAAGAGGUCCGGAAGGUUAGGCUUGAUGCGGCAGAAACAUUGCAGUGCUUGGUGGAGGCGUGCGCUUGCUCAAGCGGUCAUGGCGAGCAGAAGUUUCAGGAGCGGAACUCCGGCGAGAUCAGUUUGGUUGGGGCUCGAAUCAAAGGAUCUGCGAAGGGGGAAAUAUGGUCAUGGAGAAGCGGUACAUCCAGGAGAUUGUGAGGAUGAACAGAGGGGGCAGGGGACGGCUUACUUACGAUGACACCGACCGGAAAAGGGAGCUCGGGCAGCGAAUAUGGGGUGCUCUGUUCGCUCGUAAUCGAGCUCUACCUCGAGGGAUUUGCACGGGAAUUGUACGAGGGGAGCGAGAGGUAUCUCUCGGUGUCCAUGUAUUGGAGAGAGGGGUUCGAAUCGCGUAGAUCACGAGGAGCCUGAUUCGGCAGCGGCGGGCUCUGUCGUGCGAGACAAGGAGAUCGAGCAGAGGUG